rnacentral:lncRNA from 1 species
GAAAAGAAAGAAAGCUCUUCAAACUUCUAGUUUCAAUUUUCUCUUUAAUCUUGAGUUUUCACCGUUUGAUUUUAAAUCCGUUCCGUACAAGUGAUCUCUUAGAGGGGGUGAAGCUCUUGGUGGUGUUGUUUUAAAAGGGGAAGCCUUAAGUUCCAACCUUUGCUUGAGUCUAAGGUGAGUUGUUAAGUUAAGAAAGUUCUUUCUUGCAUUGAUAAUGGUUAAAUUCUGAAUUGUAAGGGUUGGAUAUGUUAUUUUGUGAGUUAUAUCUUGAUUUGGGUUGAUUUAUGGUGAAGCUUUAUAUUUAAUUAUGAUUUUUCUAUUUGCAUUUGAAGUUGUCUAUGUGGCCAUGUAAGAUGAAGGGGAAUGUUAUAGAAUGAGGCUAGUUAUUAUAAAUGAUGGUUAAUUGCAAGAAAAUUUUGUUUAGAAGAAAAUUUGGACAAAGUAGGGUGUCACACCCUUCAAUUCUGGCCGGCCCUAUUCACCAUAGUUAGAGGCCGAAUUAGCUUUGGCUUAAAACAUGAAAGUUGUAGGGAAUGAGAUUUUUGAGAUGCCUGUAAAAUUUCAGGUCAAUCGGAGUAGUGUAGAGUGAGAAAAGACCGAAAUACCCCUGCUGCUCUGGUUUCAUCCGAACUUGGGAUUUGCUGCUGUAAUUAGCUAUUUUGGCUAAGAAAACUUCUGAACUGGUUGUUGAGGUCUUGUAAUGAAAUGUAGCCUGAUAUCUUAGCUAUCAUACGGCUUUAGAAUCAAUGGAUUUGGACCUAGGUAGACUGAAUUGUAGCUCAUUAACCAGAACGUGGUUUGUCCACCUGCAUUUUUGCGGUUCUGAACUAGUGUCUUGUAUUUUUGACCUAGUUGUACUCAAAACUGGAUUAAGUGACCUUCUACAUUGUUGUAGCCCUAUCUCUUUGCUUCGAAACGGUGUAUCUUACACCUUCAUCCGAUAACCGUAGCGCCAAUGGUGCCAAAACCGCAAAAUGAUGUCAAACAUUGUUUUAUCUGAAAAUGUUUCUAGCUUGCUUUUCGUAUUUAUUGUUGUAUUUAUAUGAAUUUAAGCCUAGUGAAUGGCUUUUGGACAUGCCAUGAGAUAAUUCUAUAUGACAUGUUGGGACUGAUUUGAGAAAAAUAAUGAAGCCAUUAAUGGCUGGAAAAAAUAGGUAAACACAAGGGACAUGCCGUCCGUUUAUUUUCUUGUAAAAUGAAAAAGUUAGAGUGAUUUUUAGAAAUGUAUUUUGUAUCAAAUUGGACGUAUGUCCUUGGAAGUGUUAUCGGGUCUUUUGAUAAAGGUUCGAAGGCUAAGUUUCUAUUCGAACUCGUAUAUUUUCGUUCGGUCAAUUAGGUGACCGUUUUACCAUUUUCAGAUAUGAUACCUCCUCCAUUUGAAACUUCAUAUGUUCCUUACACCUUUUCCAAAAUAUAGAGGUAUGAGUUAGGUUUUUCCGGCCACCCGUGAAUUACUUCAAGUAAGGUUUUAGUGUCCUCCGUUUAGUAUGGUUUUCAUUAACACUUUGGCUCUAUAUAUAUAUAUAUUCACUUUUAACCACACAAACAAUUGUGAAAGAAUAAUUUUCCUCGCCUAACUAUUUGGACUUUGAUUUGUUGUUGGUCAAAUGGUUCCGUUGGGCUUUCCGUUUAGUCUAUGAUACCCCAAUUAUUUUCGUCCUCCGAACCAAAUGCCUUCCUUUCACUAAAAAGUCAUUUUAUACAUUUUACGUGUUAGUUGUCGGAUUUUUCUUCGUUUCACUUACUUGUUUGGCUAGGUGAAUUGUAAUAUGCUUUCUUGAUGUAUCUUAGGUUUUCUCGGUGAUUAAGAGUAAUACCCAGAGGGAUAUUUGCACGUUAUUUUGCACACUAGGUGAGUGUUCCUUGUUUGUUAUGUUUCCUGAUUAUAUGGCUUGUUUGAAUGAUUGAUAACGUGUUAAGGGCUUUCAAUGUUUGUUAAAAUGAGUUUUCUAGGCGAGUGUGUACUUUAUCGCACUCGACCUAAAUAGAUGUGAAAUUUUCAACGAUUAAAUGAUUGAAUGCUAGUUGCGCAUGUAUGUAAGCCUUUGGGCUGAACUGGCCACUACCCUUGUUACCGGUCGUCUCGAGCCAGAAGCGGACUCGGUCGGGGCGACUAGGGACCUGGGUAAACGAUCCGAUAUACUCGAGUAUUACCCUGUAGGUUGGUGGAGCCUGGCCAAAAGCCAGGGACGGGGUGAAUGAAAUGAACGAAUGGAUGAACGAACGGGGCUUUUACUUACAAAAAUGAAAUCUUUAAACGAACGGAGGAAUAAGGGGGAAAUGUCAGGAGAACGAGCGAAUGAACGAAUUUAUGGCUCCUAGUGAGCCCGUAUCCUUUUAAUGAAUGUGUUUAUCGCUUUAUUGUACUUCUAUCUUGAAUUGUUGGUAUAUGUAUUGAAUGCAUUGAUUCUCUUGUUGCCUAUGUGAACGGAACCUCACUGAGCCUUCCAGCUCAUUCCUUUAGUUUUUGUUUUCCUUAGCAGGAGAAGACGGGCGAGGACGGAAGCUAUGUAUAGGCUAGCCGAUCUAGUACUUUUGACUCUUUGGUUAUGGUUCUCGCCCCAAUGUUUGGUGGGCUGGUUGUAUGGAGAAUGAAGAACCUUUGUACAUAAGUUUUAUUGCUUUUGGGAUGGAUAUGUAUAUAAGUUUACGUUUAAGUUUGGAAUUUUGGUUAUUUCGUUUAUUUUGUGGAUUUUAUUAUCUUCUCUUAUAGCGACUGACUGAGUCCCGGCGAGAGUUGGGCAGGCGGUCCGCUGAACCCUCUGGUUCGCCUUAGGGGGAAGUGGGGCCGUUACACUGGAUCAGUUGAUAAA